GAUGAAGAACGCAGCGAAAUGCGAUACGUAAUGUGAAUUGCAGAAUUCAGUGAAUCAUCGAGUCUUUGAACGCACAUUGCGCCCCCUGGUAUUCCGGGGGGCAUGCCUGUCCGAGCGUCAUUGCUGCCCUCAAGCACGGCUUGUGUGUUGGGCCUCCGUCCUCCUCCCGGGGGACGGGCCCGAAAGGCAGCGGCGGCACCGCGUCCGGUCCUCGAGCGUAUGGGGCUUCGUCACCCGCUCUUGUAGGCCCGGCCGGCGCUUGCCGACAACCAAUCAUCCUUUUUUCAGGUUGACCUCGGAUCAGGUAGGGAUACCCGCUGAACUUAAGCAUAUCAAUAAGCGGAGGA
rnacentral:misc_RNA from 1 species